AUUCUGUGGCGAGUGCCGGCCGAAAGCUAGGUCCGGAUUGCACGUGGAGGGCCGCCCGAAGGGCACUCUCGGACAUUAACCCGCAUUCUGGUGGGUCUAGAGGAAAUUGGGGGACGAAGAGUGUCAGCACUGACCUGGUCUGGGACGUGGGGAGAAGGGUGCGCUACCUGGGUUUCAGGUGGGAGGGCGUUCGGUCGGGCCUCCAGGGGGAUAGCGGGGGUGCUUGAGUCGCGGGUGCUGAGUGAGUUGCGGGUGCUGAGUUGAGGCUGUGCCCUUUCCCACUGUAAUACGCCAAGCGUGCGUUCUGCCGUUCCCUCCGACACGCGCGACGCCACCUUCUCCCAUUUCUGCCUGCCACAGUACCAUGGGGCGCAAGUUGGACCCUACGAAGGAGAAGCGGGGGCCAGGCCGAAAGGCCCGGAAGCAGAAGGGUGCCGAGACAGAACUCGUCAGAUUCUUGCCUGCAGUAAGUGAUGAAAAUUCCAAGAGGCUGUCUAGUCGUGCUCGAAAGAGGGCAGCCAAGAGGAGAUUGGGCUCUGCUGAAGCCCCUAAGAC
rnacentral:sRNA from 1 species